AGGGUUUCUUUUGUUUUGUUUUUGUUUUGGUUGCUUUAUCUGUCUCUGUGAUUUGUAAUUACCGUUGUAUUGCACCUGUGCUUAAGSUGUUUUAUUGUAUUGUAUAAGCACAUGUAUGGAUGCCACAUCACUAAGCAAGGGGAGAAAAACUGCCCAGCCUGCCUUUUGGAGAAGAAGACUAACCGCAGCUGACCAGCUCUGGAGACGCAGAAGAUGAGAACGGUGGUGUCAGGACUUGGACUCGCUUCGCGUGACACACAGCACAUGCAUGCCUGCCCUGAAUGGUCCCUAAAAGCUCCCGUGUGAUGGUUCUCAUUUGUAUAGCUUGUGAAAGACUAAAGUAUUAAAUGUGUUUGCCUGGAUAAAUAUAACCUUUUUAUUUGUAAAUUGUUUAAAAAAUAAACAAAUGGUGGUCAAAAAGGCUUUCCUCUUGAUUUUCCUUCUUUUUUUUUUUUAACUGUAGGAAAGUGUUUUGCUCCAAUUAGCUGUAUCCUCUACUAGCUGUUAAAAUUGAGAAAUGGUGAAGAUCUUCAGCUGUUAGCCUGCUCGGUAAAAACCUGAUUUAUGCCAAGCUGAAGCCAGUGGAAGAACUUCUGUAAGGUUAGAAGUGAGGCAGGGGGAAAAGCAAACACAAUAAGGAGAGUGCCUAGUACUAACCUGUGGACCUCCACAGGGAAAAAUGACCUUGUUUCUUCUAUUUCCUAUGUGAAGAAGAUAUGGAAUAUUUUUCGGAGUCAGUGUGAUG